UGAGAAAGAUUUGAGGUGGGAUGACAUCAUGGAUUUCCAAGCGACCUUCUCAUUUGCAUGAUACAAGUUAUGGAAACUUCACAAAAGUCCGGCGUUGACCAGAGACACGACCCCAUCAAGUCAUCAAGGAAGCCUUUGACGUCUUUAGAGCUUAUCGAUGCAUGUUACGAAAUCCUAGAAUGUGCAAAUAAAUGUCAUUAUCUACCUAGUCCAUUAGUGUUCUCUGGGUCAGUUCGCACAGAAUAUUUGAGGCAUCAUGAACCAAGUGACUUACGUCCUAAUUGUGGUGAGCUUGGCUCUUUGUCAUUCCGCUCAAGCUGCUCCCCGUCAAUGCACCAUUGGGGAUUUCGCUUAUGGUGGUAGCGAAAUUUUGGUGAGUGGAAUGCAUAACUCUAAGAACUCCUGGGAGGAGUGCCAAGUUUCGUGCCAAGCCAUCACAGCCUGCACCAACUGGAGCUGGUUUUCACCCGAUGUCGAUGGUACCAGUCAAUCCUAUUGCACUCUCCAUUUUAGUGGCAGCCAAGGAUUACCUCUGCCUGGAGUCAUUUCAGGUCCCCGAACCUGUUAAGGCAGCAAUGAAUGACCAUGAUCGCAUGGCAAUAAAUGAUUGAACUCAC